rnacentral:rRNA from 1 species
UUAAGUUAGAAAGGGCGCACGGUGGAUGCCUUGACACUAGGAGUCGAUGAAGGACGGGACUAACGCCGAUAUGCUUCGGGGAGCUGUAAGUAAGCUUUGAUCCGAAGAUUUCCGAAUGGGGAAACCCACCAUACGUAAUGGUAUGGUAUCCUUAUCUGAAUACAUAGGGUAAGGAAGACAGACCCAGGGAACUGAAACAUCUAAGUACCUGGAGGAAGAGAAAGCAAAUGCGAUUUCCUGAGUAGCGGCGAGCGAAACGGAACAUAGCCCAAACCAAGAGGCUUGCCUCUUGGGGUUGUAGGACAUUCUAUACGGAGUUACAAAGGAACGAGGUAGACGAAGCGACCUGGAAAGGUCCGUCGUAGAGGGUAACAACCCCGUAGUCGAAACUUCGUUCUCUCUUGAAUGUAUCCUGAGUACGGCGGAACACGUGAAAUUCCGUCGGAAUCUGGGAGGACCAUCUCCCAAGGCUAAAUACUCCCUAGUGAUCGAUAGUGAACCAGUACCGUGAGGGAAAGGUGAAAAGCACCCCGGAAGGGGAGUGAAAGAGAUCCUGAAACCGUGUGCCUACAAAUAGUCAGAGCCCGUUAACGGGUGAUGGCGUGCCUUUUGUAGAAUGAACCGGCGAGUUACGAUCCCGUGCGAGGUUAAGCUGAAGAGGCGGAGCCGCAGCGAAAGCGAGUCUGAAUAGGGCGUUUAGUACGUGGUCGUAGACCCGAAACCAGGUGAUCUACCCAUGUCCAGGGUGAAGUUCAGGUAACACUGAAUGGAGGCCCGAACCCACGCACGUUGAAAAGUGCGGGGAUGAGGUGUGGGUAGCGGAGAAAUUCCAAUCGAACCUGGAGAUAGCUGGUUCUCCCCGAAAUAGCUUUAGGGCUAGCCUUAAGUGUAAGAGUCUUGGAGGUAGAGCACUGAUUGGACUAGGGGUCCUCAUCGGAUUACCGAAUUCAGUCAAACUCCGAAUGCCAAUGACUUAUCCUUAGGAGUCAGACUGCGAGUGAUAAGAUCCGUAGUCAAAAGGGAAACAGCCCAGACCGCCAGCUAAGGUCCCAAAGUGUGUAUUAAGUGGAAAAGGAUGUGGAGUUGCUUAGACAACUAGGAUGUUGGCUUAGAAGCAGCCACCAUUUAAAGAGUGCGUAAUAGCUCACUAGUCGAGUGACUCUGCGCCGAAAAUGUACCGGGGCUAAAUACACCACCGAAGCUGCGGAUUGAUACCGAAUGGUAUCAGUGGUAGGGGAGCGUUCUAAGGACAGUGAAGUCAGACCGGAAGGACUGGUGGAGUGCUUAGAAGUGAGAAUGCCGGUAUGAGUAGCGAAAGACGGGUGAGAAUCCCGUCCACCGAAUGCCUAAGGUUUCCUGAGGAAGGCUCGUCCGCUCAGGGUUAGUCAGGACCUAAGCCGAGGCCGACAGGCGUAGGCGAUGGACAACAGGUUGAUAUUCCUGUACCACCUCUUUAUCGUUGAGCAAUGGAGGGACGCAGAAGGAUAGAAGAAGCGUGCGAUUGGUUGUGCACGUCCAAGCAGUUAGGCUGAUAAGUAGGCAAAUCCGCUUAUCGUGAAGGCUGAGCUGUGAUGGGGAAGCUCCUUAUGGAGCGAAGUCUUUGAUUCCCCGCUGCCAAGAAAAGCUUCUAGCGAGAUAAAAGGUGCCUGUACCGCAAACCGACACAGGUAGGCGAGGAGAGAAUCCUAAGGUGUGCGAGAGAACUCUGGUUAAGGAACUCGGCAAAAUGACCCCGUAACUUCGGGAGAAGGGGUGCUUUCUUAACGGAAAGCCGCAGUGAAUAGGCCCAAGCGACUGUUUAGCAAAAACACAGCUCUCUGCGAAGCCGUAAGGCGAAGUAUAGGGGGUGACACCUGCCCGGUGCUGGAAGGUUAAGGAGAGGGGUUAGCGUAAGCGAAGCUCUGAACUGAAGCCCCAGUAAACGGCGGCCGUAACUAUAACGGUCCUAAGGUAGCGAAAUUCCUUGUCGGGUAAGUUCCGACCCGCACGAAAGGUGUAACGAUUUGGGCACUGUCUCAACCAGAGACUCGGUGAAAUUAUAGUACCUGUGAAGAUGCAGGUUACCCGCGACAGGACGGAAAGACCCCGUGGAGCUUUACUGUAGCCUGAUAUUGAAUUUUGGUACAGUUUGUACAGGAUAGGCGGGAGCCUUUGAAACCGGAGCGCUAGCUUCGGUGGAGGCGCUGGUGGGAUACCGCCCUGACUGUAUUGAAAUUCUAACCUACGGGUCUUAUCGACCCGGGAGACAGUGUCAGGUGGGCAGUUUGACUGGGGCGGUCGCCUCCUAAAGUGUAACGGAGGCGCCCAAAGGUUCCCUCAGAAUGGUUGGAAAUCAUUCGUAGAGUGCAAAGGCAUAAGGGAGCUUGACUGCGAGACCUACAAGUCGAGCAGGGACGAAAGUCGGGCUUAGUGAUCCGGUGGUUCCGCAUGGAAGGGCCAUCGCUCAACGGAUAAAAGCUACCCCGGGGAUAACAGGCUUAUCUCCCCCAAGAGUCCACAUCGACGGGGAGGUUUGGCACCUCGAUGUCGGCUCAUCGCAUCCUGGGGCUGUAGUCGGUCCCAAGGGUUGGGCUGUUCGCCCAUUAAAGCGGUACGCGAGCUGGGUUCAGAACGUCGUGAGACAGUUCGGUCCCUAUCCGUCGUGGGCGUAGGAAAUUUGAGAGGAGCUGUCCUUAGUACGAGAGGACCGGGAUGGACGCACCGCUGGUGUACCAGUUGUUCUGCCAAGGGCAUAGCUGGGUAGCUAUGUGCGGAAGGGAUAAGUGCUGAAAGCAUCUAAGCAUGAAGCCCCCCUCAAGAUGAGAUUUCCCAUAGCGUAAGCUAGUAAGAUCCCUGAAAGAUGAUCAGGUUGAUAGGUUCGAGGUGGAAGCAUGGUGACAUGUGGAGCUGACGAAUACUAAUAGAUCGAGGACUUAACCAU